GUUUGGUUCAGUGGCGCACGGGUGAGUAACACGUGAAUUACAUGCCCUUCAGUGGGGAAUAGCCCAGGGAAACUUGGAUUAAUACCCCAUGGUAUCGCAAGAUUAAAGGUGGCCGCAAGGCUGUCGCUGAAGGAUUGGUUCGCGCCCUAUCAGCUUGUUGGUGAGGUAACGGCUCACCAAGGCUACGACGGGUACCUGGUCUGAGAGGACGAUCAGGCACACUGGAACUGAGACACGGUCCAGACACCUACGGGUGGCAGCAGUCGAGAAUAAUUCACAAUGGGGGCAACCCUGAUGGUGCAACGCCGCGUGGAGGAUGAAGGUCUUCGGAUUGUAAACUCCUGUCAUCCGGGAGUAAGACCUGGCUGUGAAUAGCAGACAGGGUUGAUAGUACCGGAAGAGGAAGG
rnacentral:rRNA from 1 species